GUAGGGAAUAUUGGGCAAUGGAUGCAAGUCUGACCCAGCCAUGCCGCGUGGAGGAAGAAGGUCCUCUGGAUUGUAAACUCCUUUUUUGGGGGAAGAAUAGUUCUCUUGCGAGGGAAUGUGACGGUACCCUAAGAAUAAGCCACGGCUAACUACGUGCCAGCAGCCGCGGUAAUACGUAGGUGGCAAGCGUUGUCCGGAUUUAUUGGGUUUAAAGGGUGCGUAGGUGGUUUGAUAAGUCAGUGGUGAAAGCUGGUUGCUCAACAAUCAAGUUGCCAUUGAUACUGUCGGACUUGAGAGAAGUGGAGGUUCAUGGAAUGGAUGGUGUAGCGGUGAAAUGCAUAGAUAUCAUCCAGAACGUCGAUUGCGAAGGCAGUGGGCUGUACUUUAUCUGACACUGAGGCGCGAAAGCGUGGGGAGCAAACAGGAUUAGAAACCCGAGUAGUCC
rnacentral:rRNA from 1 species